CAGUCGCCACGGGAAUACGAAGGGGGCUAGCGUUACUCGGAAUUACUGGGCGUAAAGGGCGCGUAGGCGGCACGAUUAGUCAGGCGUGAAAUUCCUGGGCUCAACCUGGGGACUGCGCUUGAUACGGUCGAGCUAGAGGAUGGAAGAGGGUUGUGGAAUUCCCAGUGUAGAGGUGAAAUUCGUAGAUAUUGGGAAGAACACCGGUGGCGAAGGCGGCAACCUGGUCCAUUACUGACGCUGAGGCGCGACAGCGUGGGGAGCAAACAGGAUUAGAUACCCCCGUAGUCCCUGCCUCUUAUAC
rnacentral:rRNA from 1 species